rnacentral:rRNA from 1 species
AUUGAACGCUGGCGGCAGGCCUAACACAUGCAAGUCGAGCGAGCGGCGGACGGGUGAGUAAUGUAUGGGGACUGCCCGUUAGAGGGGGAUAACUACUGGAAACGGUGGCUACUACCGCAUACUUCCGGAUAACCCCUAUGGGAGUACCUAUUAGGUGGGGUAAAGGCUCACCUAGGCGACGAUCUCUAGCUGGUCUGAGAGGAUGAUCAGCAACACUGGGAGUGAGACACGGCCCGUACACCUACGGGGGCAGCAGUGGGGAAUAUUGCACAAUGGGCAAAAGCCUGAUGCAGCCAUGCCGCGUGUAUGAAGAAGGCCUUAGGGUUGUAAAGUACUUUCAGCGGGGAGGCGUUACCCGCAGAAGAAGCACCGGCGAACUCCGUGCCAGCAGCCGCGGUAAUUC